UGGGGAAUAUUGCACAAUGGGGGAAACCCUGAUGCAGCGACGCCGCGUGAACGAAGAAGGUAUUCGUAUCGUAAAGUUCUGUCCUAUGGGAAGAUAAUGACAGUACCAUAGAAGAAAGCUCCGGCUAAAUACGUGCCAGCAGCCGCGGUAAUACGUAUGGAGCGAGCGUUGUCCGGAAUUAUUGGGCGUAAAGGGUACGCAGGCGGUUUAAUAAGUCGAAUGUUAAAGAUCGGGGCUCAACCCCGCAAAGCAUUGGAAACUGAUAAACUUGAGUAGUGGAGAGGAAAGUGGAAUUCCUAGUGUAGUGGUGAAAUACGUAGAUAUUAGGAGGAAUACCAGUAGCGAAGGCGACUUUCUGAACACAAACUGACGCUGAGGUACGAAAGCGUGGGGAGCAAACAGG
rnacentral:rRNA from 1 species